rnacentral:rRNA from 1 species
UAGGGAAUAUUGUAAAAUGGGCGAAAGCCCGAUGCAGCAACGCCGCGUGGGCGAUGAAGGCCUUCGGGUCGUAAAGCCCUUUUUGAGGGGAUGAGGAAGGACAGUACCCUCAGAAUAAGCCUCGGCUAACUACGUGCCAGCAGCCGCGGUAAAACGUAGGAGGCGAGCGUUAUCCGGAUUUACUGGGCGUAAAGCGCGUGCAGGCGGAUUGGAGAGUUGGAUGUGAAAGCUCCCGGCUUAACUGGGAGAGGUCGUUCAAUACUUCCAGUCUUGAGUGCAGUAGAGGGAAGUGGAAUUCCGGGUGUAGUGGUGAAAUGCGUAGAUAUCCGGAGGAACAUCAGUGGCGAAAGCGGCUUCCUGGACUGUAACUGACGCUCAGACGCGAAAGCUAGGGUAGCAAACG